GAUGAAGAACGCAGCGAAAUGCGAUACUUGGUGUGAAUUGCAGAAUCCCGUGAACCAUCGAGUCUUUGAACGCAAGUUGCGCCUCAAGCCAUUAGGUUGAGGGCACGUCUGCCUGGGCGUCACAUAUCGUUGCCUGAUGCCAGUUUCCUCGUGAUGGUGACUGUGCAGGGCGAAUGAUGGCUUCCCGUGAGCAUUGUUGCCUCAUGGUUGGUUGAAAAUUGAGUCCUUGGUAGGGAGCGCCGUGAUAGAUGGUGGUUGAGUGACGAACGAGACCCAAUCAUGUGAGACCCCUACCGAAUUUGGCCUUCAUGACCCACAUGCGUCUUUGGAACGCUCAUGACGAGACCUCAGGUCAGGCGGGGCUACCCGCUGAGUUUAAGCAUAUCAAUAAGCGGAGAA
rnacentral:misc_RNA from 1 species